AAUGAAUUAACCUGUCUGAGCUCGAAGCGCACGGCGUCGGCCGCUGGUUUCACGGGCCUGCCUUUGAGUUUUUUUCUCCCGAAACCCUCAGCCUCCUCCCUUUGUUGGCUCUUUGGCUUGUACAGAUGCCGCCAGCUCGUGGAAAGCAUGGAGCUGGAGAACGCCCAGCUCCGGCGCCAGCUGCAGAAGCUGGAGCGGGAGCACGAAGACGUGGUGGAGCGCAACGAGGAGCUGGAGUCGCUCCUGGGGGAGGCGCAGAACCGAAGCCAGGAGGAGCGCGAGCAGCUCCAGGACCGAGUGGACGGGCUGCGGAGGAAGGUCGCACGUUUAGAGGCGGAGCUGUGCCAGGCACAGAAGAUGAAGCCAGACAAGGUGGAUGAAGACACGGCAGACUUCCAAAAGGCAAGGAACCUCCCGGGGAGGGUCUGGAGUGGGAAGGAGGUGGGACGGGGCGAACCCCCAGACCCCAUGCGUGUGGGGCGUCCGACACCCUCUCUGCUCCCCCUCACUCCCUGUGGGCAGCUGAACGGCUCUCCCUUUUUUUUGCUGGUGUCAGAGGCUGAAGAUUCACCAAGAGAAAGUCAGAGCACUGGAAAGCAAACUUUCCGAGGUGGAGAAACAGAGGGAGCAACUGGCCGGGGACCUGGAAGUAACGCAGAAGGCGCUGAACGAGGAGAAGAAGGUGAGUUGUCCCCCACCCGCGUGGCGGCCGGCGGCGGAAUCUUUAUGGCUGAAUCUCCAGAGACCAUAGCAGAAUCC
rnacentral:lncRNA from 1 species